rnacentral:rRNA from 1 species
AGUCCAGACUCCUACGGGAGGCAGCAGUGGGGAAUAUUGCACAAUGGGGGAAACCCUGAUGCAGCGACGCCGCGCGAGCGAUGAAGUAUUUCGGUAUGUAAAGCUCUAUCAGCAAGGAAGAAAAUGACGGUACCUGACUAAGAAGCCCCGACUAACUACGUGCCAGCAGCCGCGGUAAUACGUAGGGGGCAAGCGUUAUCCGGAUUUACUGGGUGUAAAGGGAGCGUAGACGGCGGCGCAAGCCAGAUGUGAAAGCCCGGGGCUCAACCCCGGGACUGCAUUUGGAACUGUGCCGCUAGAGUGUCGGAGAGGCAGGCGGAAUUCCUAGUGUAGCGGUGAAAUGCGUAGAUAUUAGGAGGAACACCAGUGGCGAAGGCGGCCUGCUGGACGAUGACUGACGUUGAGGCUCGAAAGCGUGGGGAGCAAACAGGAUUAGAUACCCCCGUACAG